rnacentral:rRNA from 1 species
AAACUCAAAGGAAUUGACGGGGGCCCGCACAAGCGGCGGAGCAUGUUGCUUAAUUCGACGCAACGCGAAGAACCUUACCAAGGCUUGACAUCACCGGUAAUCCUCCAGAGAUGGGGGGUCCUUCGGGGAUCGGUGACAGGUGGUGCAUGGCUGUCGUCAGCUCGUGUCGUGAGAUGUUGGGUUAAGUCCCGCAACGAGCGCAACUCCUGUCCCAUGUUGCCAGCACGUGGUGGUGGGGACUCAUGGGAGACUGCCGGGGUCAACUCGGAGGAAG